GAGUUUGAUCGUGGCUCAGAUUGAACGCUGGCGGCAUGCCUUACACAUGCAAGUCGAACGGCAGCACGGGAGCUUGCUCCUGGUGGCGAGUGGCGAACGGGUGAGUAAUGCAUCGGAACGUAUCCUGGAGUGGGGGAUAACGUAGUGAAAGUUACGCUAAUACCGCAUAUUCUGUGAGCAGGAAAGCGGGGGACCUUCGGGCCUCGCGCUCUUGGAGCGGCCGAUGUCGGAUUAGCUAGUUGGUGAGGUAAAGGCUCACCAAGGCGACGAUCCGUAGCAGGUCUGAGAGGAUGAUCUGCCACACUGGAACUGAGACACGGUCCAGACUCCUACGGGAGGCAGCAGUGGGGAAUUUUGGACAAUGGGGGCAACCCUGAUCCAGCCAUGCCGCGUGAGUGAAGAAGGCCUCGGUU
rnacentral:rRNA from 1 species